rnacentral:rRNA from 1 species
CCUACGGGAGGCAGCAGUGGGGAAUUUUGGACAAUGGGCGCAAGCCUGAUCCAGCAAUGCCGCGUGAGUGAAGAAGGCCUUCGGGUUGUAAAGCUCUUUUGUCAGGGAAGAAACGGUGGAGGCUAAUAUCCUUUGCUAAUGACGGUACCUGAAGAAUAAGCACCGGCUAACUACGUGCCAGCAGCCGCGGUAAUACGUAGGGUGCAAGCGUUAAUCGGAAUUACUGGGCGUAAAGCGUGCGCAGGCGGUUUUGUAAGUUUGUCGUGAAAUCCCCGGGCUCAACCUGGGAAUGGCGAUGAAGACUGUAAGGCUAGAAUCUGGCAGAGGGGGGUAGAAUUCCACGUGUAGCAGUGAAAUGCGUAGAGAUGUGGAGGAACACCGAUGGCGAAGGCAGCCCCCUGGGUCAAGAUUGACGCUCAUGCACGAAAGCGUGGGGAGCAAACAGGAUUAGAUACCCUGGUAGUCCACGCCCUAAACGAUGUCUACUAGUUGUCGGGUUUUAAUUAACUUGGUAACGCAGCUAACGCGUGAAGUAGACCGCCUGGGGAGUACGGUCGCAAGAUUAAAACUCAAAGGAAUUGACGG